rnacentral:rRNA from 1 species
AAAUAGUGRKAUYMAGCAAAUCUCAAAAAAUCGKUCUCAGUUCGGAUUGUAGUCUGCAACUCGACUACAUGAAGUCKGAAUCGCUAGUAAUCGUAGAUCAGCUACGCUACGGUGAAUACGUUCUCGGGUCUUGUACACACCGCCCGUCACACCAUGGGAGCUGGUAAUGCCCGAAGUCGGUUUG